rnacentral:misc_RNA from 1 species
CUCCCAUAACAAAGCGACCGAGAAAAGAAUGGGUGGUGGUGCUGAUGAUUACCUGAAAAUCCAGCUUCCAUACCAGCAAUAGAAGCUAACCCAUCAUCUUCCUCAAUGAAACAAGGCCUUCUAGACCCAGAAGACGACUCCAUGACUAUUUUCUUGUAAAUUUGAUUAUAUAUAUGUAUAUCUAUAUAUAAAUAUAAACCCUUCUUUAGAUUUGUGGUUUUCUUGGAGUCUUGAGAGAAAGGAGAAGUAACGAAGAAGAGAAAGGACAAAGUAGUUCCUGGUUUAAAGAUGAGUUGGUGAAGACAAUGAACAAGAUUU